rnacentral:rRNA from 1 species
AUUGAACGCUGGCGGAAUGCUUUACACAUGCAAGUCGAGCGGCAGCGCGGGGCAACCUGGCGGCGAGCGGCGAACGGGUGAGUAAUACAUCGGAACGUACCCAGUUGUGGGGGAUAGCCCGGCGAAAGCCGGAUUAAUACCGCAUACGACCUGAGGGUGAAAGCGGGGGAUCGCAAGACCUCGCGCAGUUGGAGCGGCCGAUGGCGGAUUAGCUAGUUGGUAGGGUAAAGGCCUACCAAGGCGACGAUCCGUAGCGGGUCUGAGAGGACGACCCGCCACACUGGAACUGAGACACGGUCCAGACUCCUACGGGAGGCAGCAGUGGGGAAUUUUGGACAAUGGGGGCAACCCUGAUCCAGCCAUUCCGCGUGAGUGAAGAAGGCCUUCGGGUUGUAAAGCUCUUUCGGCAGGAACGAAACGGUCUGUGCUAAUACCACGGGCUAAUGACGGUACCUGAAGAAGAAGCACCGGCUAACUACGUGCCAGCAGCCGCAGUAA